GAGAGAGGAAGGGCGGCUGCCGCUGGCCAGCUUUUGGCCGGUGUGGAAAGUCCCCCCACCACUGGACACACAGACAUCCCAAAGGAUGUGGGGCGAGAGCUCUGGCUCUGGCACAGAAACGAGACCGCUCCGCGCAAGGGCGAUGAUGCCGCAAGGCUGAAGGUCGCGCGGGCAGGCGGAUGAAACGGCGAAACCCUGUGGGUGCAAGCCAAAAUAGGGCUGUUAAACUGGACGUCCAGCCAAGCCCGGGUAUGGCGCUAAGCUGAAUGCCGUCGUGAACAGAAGGGGGCUUACUCUCCUCACUC
rnacentral:RNase_P_RNA from 1 species